rnacentral:SRP_RNA from 1 species
CUGUGCUAGGCGGGGAGCUAGCGGUGCCCUGUACCCGCAAUCCGCUACAGCGGGGCUGAAAUAUCUGUGCGGCAAUGCGCAGCGGGUCUGUAUUUAUGUAAGUAGUGUUGAUGGUCAGGACCUGCGCGGCAUCAGCCCGUGAACCCCGUCAGAACCGGAAGGUAGCAGCGGUAAGCGGUGUCUGAUGGGCGAUGCAGACUAACCUGAUCUGAGCUGGCUGCAGAUUGCAUCUCGUGAGGCUUGUCCAGCAGAUUCGUACGG